rnacentral:rRNA from 1 species
CCUACGGGAGGCAGCAGUGGGGAAUAUUGCGCAAUGGGCGAAAGCCUGACGCAGCGACGCCGCGUGAGGGAUGAAGGUCUUCGGAUCGUAAACCUCUGUCAGCAGGGAAGAACGGUCACUGUGCUAAUCAGCAGUGAAUUGACGGUACCUGCAAAGCAACCACCGGCUAACUCCGUGCCAGCAGCCGCGGUAAUACGGAGGGUGCGAGCGUUAAUCGGAAUUACUGGGCGUAAAGCGCUCGUAGGCGGUAUGACAAGCCAAGGGGGAAAUCCCCGCGCUCAACGUGGGGACUGCCUUUGAAACUGGCGAACUGGAGUGGGCGAGAGGAUAGUGGAAUGCCAGGUGUAGGAGUGAAAUCCGUAGAUAUCAGGAGGAACAUCAGUGGCGAAGGCGACUAUCUGGCACGUAACUGACGCUGAGGAGCGAAAGCGUGGGUAGCAAACAGGAUUAGAUACCCGUGUAGUC